GAAUUUCUGCCUGAGGUUCAUUUGUUGAAAAAAUGACAGGAGAAGCUGUAUGAAAUACACCAUCACACCCAUCAACUACCGCAUCAAAAGCUCCUUCUUCCAGUAAAUUUGCUUUGAACAAGUGAAGUCUUUCUUUGGCUCCAUCAAGAGCACGUAAGUGUGCUGUUUUCUUAGGAUCAUCUGGGUCACGAACAGUGGCUUUAACUGUAUAACCACGCUGGAGAAAAAACUUGACCAGCCAUGAAGCUAUGUAACCUGAACCUC
rnacentral:misc_RNA from 1 species